GAUGAACGCUGGCGGCGUGCCUAAUACAUGCAAGUCGAGCGAACAGACGAGGCGCUUGCUCCUCUGACGUUAGCGGCGGACGGGUGAGUCACACGUGGAUCCCCUACCUAUAAGACUGGGAUAACUUCGGGAAACCGGAGCUAAUACCGGAUAAUAUCUUGAACCGCAUGGUUCAAUGGAGAAAGACGGUUUUGCUGUCACUUAUCGAUGGUUCCGGGCCGCAUGAGCUAGUUGGUACGGUAACGGCUUACCAAGGCUACGAUGCGUAGCCGACCGGAUAGGCGGAUCGGCCACACGGGAACGGAGACACGGUCCAGACGCCUACGGGAGGCAGCAGUAGGGAAUCUGCGGCAAUGGGCGAAAGCCUUACGGAGCAACGCCGCGUGUGUGACGAAGGCCUUCGGAUCGUAAAACUCGGUUACUAGGUAAGAACAACUGUGGAAGGAACCAUGCACUGCUUGACGGUACUUAAUCAGAAAGCCACGGCUAACUACGUG
rnacentral:rRNA from 1 species